rnacentral:tRNA from 1 species
AAGGCUUUAAGUUAAACAAACUCAUAGCCUUCAAAGCUAUAAAUAAAGGCAUUAAUUCUUUAAGCCUUA